AACCCACGUGGACAUUUGUCCAUUGGAUCUUAAGUCCAACGCCUUAACCACUCGGCCAUCCUGGUUGUUAUAGUAAUUUUAAAAGUGA